CUCUCUCCUACUAACUUAAAUCAACCAACCCCAAACAAACCUACACUGCAUUUCUCUCAUCUUUAUUUAUUUCUUUGCAAUUUGGCUGCUCUGUUUCAGUCAUUCAGUGUGCUUCUGUUACUCUGAUAUUGCUCUCUUUCUGGCUUCGCAAGUGAUAUCAGCGAGCUCUGUUUCUCCUUGAGAAUGUAUGCAGAGACUGGGCUUUUGUUCCCUUAUUUCCAGAAUUCACCUCAAGAUUUUCAGCAACUUGAGGAGUUCUGCAGAACCCAGAAGACAAAUGCUUCAAUGAAUAGCUUCGUCGAGGCCUCUAUGAUAUCAGAAUAUGACCUGGGAGGAGAAUGGGAUCUAUUCAAAGCUCCAGAGCCUAUAAUUGAAGAGCCGGGCAUUGGCCUUGAUCCCAUGACAGCAACCAUUUCAAUGAUAUCUUGUGGGGAAGAUGUCACCUGCUCUCAAGGGCUAAAGGUUGCAGACAUUGAAUCAUUUCAAAGUGAGCAGCUUUUGAGUGAUGUCUUCUAUGACAAGGAUCUCUUAGGGAAGGAGGCAAUAGGGGCACCACUUUCUGAGGCCCUAGAUAUCAAAAUUCCUAUUUUGACAAUGGAUGCAAAUCAAAUUCAGGAAAACAAACCAAUUCGCGACGUAACAUUCCAGAAAAGUGUCAGCUCAGGAUGUUUAACCUCAAGGGAGUGGAUGCAUGGAACUUCAACGAAGCCAAGUUUCCUGGAUUUUCCUGGAAUGGAUUUUGGUGCUGCUUAUGGUAUUCGGAGGGCAUUUAGUGAAGGAGAUAUUAAGGAUAGGACUGGGUCAUUGAUACUGAGUUUUUAUGACAGACUCUUGAUAACAUCAACACAAGCCUCGUCCAUUCUUCGCUUGAGCGGCCCAUAGUCAUCAGCAACUGCACCACUGAGGAACGCAGGGAAAAGCUUUCAAGAUACCGCAACAAGAAGACAAAAAGGAACUUUGGAAGGAAAAUCAAGUAUGCAUGCAGGAAGGCUCUUGCAGACAACCAGCCGAGGAUCCGUGGAAGAUUUGCAAAGACUGAAGAAACUUAUGGCAAGAGGCAAUAACUGUUGACUACUUUUAUAUACUAAUAAGAAGAAUGUAGGAAUGAAGUAGCUAGCCAGGUCCAAUGGUAUAUGUAAUGGAAGAGAGAUGAGAUCAGUAGUAGCGAAAGCCUGGCAUAUAAAAUAGACUUGGAAUCAGAUUAGGUUUUGCUCAUCAAUAAACCAGACCCCAAAAUCCUCUGCUAAGUAUUUGAUCUCUAUCAUCAGCUGUAAUAACCUCCUUUCUAGACCUGCAUAUGGCCAACUGCGUACGGAUGUAAAUAGGGUAUGUGGAAUAAUCAUCUGGGGAAGCAAAACAGUUGUACUUGUUCAUAUUAUAUGUUAUGAAAUUGCAAUCUUUGUAGUCCCUCC